rnacentral:rRNA from 1 species
UACGGGGGGAGCAAGCGUUGUUCGGAUUUACUGGGCGUAAAGGGCGCGUAGGCGGCCACCGCAAGUCGACUGUGAAAUCUCCGGGCUUAACUCGGAAAGGUCAGCCGAUACUGCGGGGCUAGAGUGCAGAAGGGGCAACUGGAAUUCUCGGUGUAGCGGUGAAAUGCGUAGAUAUCGAGAGGAACACCUGCGGCGAAGGCGGGUCUCUGGACAGUUCCUGACACUGAGGCACGAAGGCCAGGGGAGCAAACGGG